GAUGCAGGAUCGACUAUGUCGAAUAAAAUUCUAGGUAGAAUUAUGAUAAUGACAUUGUCUGCCUAUGUGUCUUGACCAAAUUACGUGCCAGCAGUCGCGGUAAUACGUAGAAGACUAGUGUUAUUCAUGUUUAAUCGGUUUAAAGGGUACCUAGACGGUAAAUCAAGCCUAAAAUUAAAUGAAGGGACUAAUUUACUAGAGUUACUUAUGAGGGGGUAUUAAAGUACUGCUGGUGUAGAGAUGAAAUUCUGUCAUACCUCUUUUCUAUAGAAAAAUAAUGGCACAGGUAUAGGCGAAAGCAUCCCCUUAUGUGAUAACUGACGUUGAGGGACGAAGGCUUUGUGUAGCGAACAGGAUUAGAUACCCCCGUAGUCAAAGCAGAAAAUGAUGAAUGUCAUAGAUUAGAUAAAUAAGUUUAUUCUAUAAAUGAAAGUGUAAGCAUUCCACCUCAAGAGUAAUUUGGCAACAUUGGAACUGAAAUCAUUAGACCGUUUCUGAAACCAGUAGUGAAGUAUGUUGUUUAAUUUGAUGAUCCGCAAAAAACCUUACCACAAUUUGAAUAUUUAUAUCUUUUAUUGUUUUUUUUUAUUUUCUUCUCUUCUGAUUUGAUUUUUCUAAAGAAAAAAAGAAAAAGAGGCGAUAUGAUAUAUUUACAAGCGUUGCACGGCUGUCUUCAGUUAAUGUCGCGAGACUUUGGUUAGUUCCAUUAAAUUAACGUAAACCCUUACUUUAUUUUUAUAUAGAGUAGUUCCCCGCUAUAUUGGAUAUGAUAACAGGGACUAAGACAAGUCAUCAUGGCCUAAAUAUUGUGGGCUAUAGACGUGCCACAUAAGCCUUACAAAAGGGUGUG
rnacentral:rRNA from 1 species